CGGUUUAAUUCGGACUCAACGCCGGGAAACUCACCAGAUAAGACAGCUGAAUGAUAGUCGGGCUGAAGGCUCUACUUUGACUAGCUGAGAGGAGGUGCAUGGCCGUCGUCAGUUCGUACUGUGAAGCAUCCUGUUAAGUCAGGCAACGAGCGAGACCCACGCCAACAGUUGCCAGCUCGGUCCUCCGGGAUGGUGGGGACACUGUUGGGACCGCCUCUGCUAAAGAGGAGGAAGGAAUGGGCAACGGUAGGUCAGUAUGCCCCGAAUAUCCCGGGCUACACGCGAGCUACAAUGGUUGGUACAAUGGGUAUCUACCCCGAAAGGGGACGGGAAUCUCCUAAAACCAAUCUUAGUUCGGAUUGAGGGCUGCAACUCGCCCUCAUGAAGCUGGAAUCCGUAGUAAUCGCGUUUCAACAGAACGCGGUGAAUACGUCCCUGCUCCUU
rnacentral:rRNA from 1 species